rnacentral:rRNA from 1 species
AUAAUACUCCAUAGAUUAGAGACACUGGAAUGUUCUUUAGUCGAAAGUUCUGGCGCCUUAGGAUGGAUCUGCGGUCGAUUAGGUUGUUGUGGGGGUAACGGCCCAACAAGCCUGUAAUCGAUACGGGUUGUGGGAGCAAGAGCCCGGAGAUGGAAUCUGAGACACGAUUCCAGGCCCUACGGGGCGCAGCAGGCGCGAAAACUUUACAAUGCAGGAAACUGUGAUAAGGGAACUCCGAGUGCCCGUAUACGCGGGCUGUCCAGGUGUUUAAAAGUCAUCUGAAGAAAGGGCCGGGCAAGACCGGUGCCAGCCGCCGCGGUAAUACCGGCGGCUCGAGUGGUGGCCACUAUUAUUGGGCUUAAAGCGUCCGUAGCUGGACCGAUAAGUCUCUUGGGAAAUCCGCCGGCUCAACCGGCGGGCGUCUAAGGGAUACUGUUAGUCUAGGGACCGGGAGAGGUGAGAGGUACUCCGGGGGUAGGAGUGAAAUCCUGUAAUCCCCGGGGGACCACCGAUUGCGAAGGCAUCUCACCAGAACGGCUCCGACAGUGAGGGACGAAAGCUGGGGGAGCAAACCGGAUUAGAUACCCGGGUAGUCCCAGCCGUAAACUAUGCGCGUUAGGUGU